rnacentral:rRNA from 1 species
GACGAACGCUGGCGGCGUGCUUAACACAUGCAAGUCGAACGGAAAGGCCCUGCUUUUGUGGGGUGCUCGAGUGGCGAACGGGUGAGUAACACGUGAGUAACCUGCCCUUGACUUUGGGAUAACUUCAGGAAACUGGGGCUAAUACCGGAUAGGAGCUCCUGCUGCAUGGUGGGGGUUGGAAAGUUUCGGCGGUUGGGGAUGGACUCGCGGCUUAUCAGCUUGUUGGUGGGGUAGUGGCUUACCAAGGCUUUGACGGGUAGCCGGCCUGAGAGGGUGACCGGCCACAUUGGGACUGGGAUACGGCCCAGACUCCUACGGGAGGCAGCAGUGGGGAAUAUUGCACAAUGGGCGGGAGCCUGAUGCAGCAACGCCGCGUGCGGGAUGACGGCCUUCGGGUUGUAAACCGCUUUCGCCUGUGACGAAGCGUGAGUGACGGUAAUGGGUAAAGAAGCACCGGCUAACUACGUGC